rnacentral:rRNA from 1 species
UGGGGAAUUUUGGACAAUGGGCGCAAGCCUGAUCCAGCCAUGCCGCGUACAGGAUGAAGGCCUUCGGGUUGUAAACUGCUUUUGUACGGAACGAAAAGACUCCUUCUAAUAAAGGGGGUCCAUGACGGUACCGUAAGAAUAAGCACCGGCUAACUACGUGCCAGCAGCCGCGGUAAUACGUAGGGUGCGAGCGUUAAUCGGAAUUACUGGGCGUAAAGCGUGCGCAGGCGGUUUUGUAAGACAGAGGUGAAAUUCCCGGGCUCAACCUGGGAACUGCCUUUGUGACUGCAAGGCUGGAGUGCGGCAGAGGGGGAUGGAAUUCCGCGUGUAGCAGUGAAAUGCGUAGAUAUGCGGAGGAACACCGAUGGCGAAGGCAAUCCCCUGGGCCUGCAAUGACGAUCAUGCACGAAAGCGUGGGGAGCAAACA